GGAUUUCCUGAAGCGAUAUUCUGACCACUCUCAAUAUUGGAUUGGACUGAGUCGAGAAGCAGGACAGAGCUGGAAGUGGAUAGAUGGAACCAUAUACAGUGGUUGGUUUCAAAUCAUUGGAAUUGGAGAAUGUGCCUAUCUACACAAAACGGGGAUCAGAGGCUCCAGUACCCGCUUGGUUAGAAAAUGGAUUUGUAGCAAAUCAGACCUAUGCAUCCCCAGAAGUUAAGACAUCAUGGAUCUAAGAUAUUUUAUGUAAAAUAGUGUAAAAGGAAUAAUUUUUAUUCCUCUUGAAGGAAACAUAUUAUAUUAAUAUGAAAGUACGUGAGAUUCAUGUUUAGAAAUUUCCAUUGGUGUUUUACUCCGCGUCUCUAAACCCAUGUUUAUAAAUCUUCUAGAGUCUUAGGAUUCAAGAAAUACAUGCCCCAACGUCUGUUCCCAAAUCUCACAGAAUAAAACUUCUGAUACGUAAUACAUUAAAUACGAAUGAAAAACUUAAAUGACAUUUUACGGUAUUUACGCCUAUGGAUUCAGAGUAAUGUCAUUUAAAGUGGCUUGUUUUUCUAAGAACUGCAGUAUUUUUACCCUGCCUCCUUACUUUUAUUAUCGAUACUAGUUGUUGAUGUUCUUUCGGUUUUGCAAUAUGUAUGAGAGUCACUCGUGAAUGUAGGGUUAGGGAAACACGAGCCUCGUGUUGAAAUGCGUUGAGUUACUAGCUAAACGAAUCGCUUUCGUGCGCCAACCCCACAGGCCAUCAUGUUCAGACCAUCAGGAGUUUGAGUAAAUAGUCUGAACUAGCACCUGUCUAGUAGCGAAUGCCAGGAACCUAUUGUACAAUGGACAAUAUCAAUAGUAUAAAUUUGGGGAACAAAUGGGUGAAGGAGGUAUUUGAACUCUGCUGCUCAAGCCUCUAGUUGAGAAAACGACAAAUCAGGUUCUGUGGCAGAAUGUGUAACUUUUCAGAGAAUAUGAUCUUCCCAGUUACUCGAGGUUAACGAGAUCUGUUUGUUAAAAAUGAUCCUUGCAUUAAAGUGAAAUCCGUGACCUGCAUCUUAUGGGUGCGUAAUGUAUGCUCACUGCGAGAAGUGAAAACAGUUGUAAUAGAACACAGAGUGGAGAACGGGACAAGUAAGAACUCAGAAAAAGAGCAGUGGGGUCUCAUUCUUGUAUCUUUUCCAAGCCAGGCCAAAGUUUCCAUGUUUCCAUCCCCUCUCCGCACCCUCAUUUUCACUUCCUUUUCCUCCCUGUACUUCCCCCUCUCCUCUUCUUCAGAAAAUCAGAGAUGGGACAGAUGAACCUUUCACGUUUAAUUAUCAAACAGUAGAAGAAGUGCACAAACAAAUGUAUGUCUUGUAUGGAAAGGUUCAGCGGCAACGGAAGGAAGUGCGUGCCCAAAGCCGAGAAGGAGGCUCCCAGUGAAAUCAUUACGGGGGAAAUAUUGUUUGUUUUUUAAUUUUUUUUUAAUAUUUGUUUAUUUUUGAGAAACAGAGUGAGACAAAGCGUGAGCGGGGGAGGGGCAGAGAGAGAAGGAGACACAGAAUCUGAAGCAGGCUCCAGGCUCUGAGCAAGCCGUUGAAUGCACAGUUCUGGAACUCAUGAGCAAGUCUGGGCUGGAUACACGACAUGGACACGAGUAGAGCCCCCAGAGGUCCGAGGGAAUAUGUUGACCUGACGAAAGUAGAAAAGCCCUUGGUAGCAAAGAGUCAUUGCUUGCCUAAUGAGAAAAUAAUUUUCUUUUACAAAUGCUUGUUACCUGAUUUUUGUUUUAUUUUUUAGGUAGGCUGUAAAGCUAGAUUGCUUAGUCUUAGUCACAAAGCUGAAUCUGUGCCCAUAUGAGCACUAAUAGAACAAUAGUAUAAUUUCAGACAAAUAAAUUAGUUCAUAUGUAUUUACAGAACUAUUAAAUGAGAGAAGUGCCCAGUUUUCAGAAGAUGAGAUGUGGAAACAUUUGGAGAUGGUUGGACUUGCAAAACUUCCAAUACUGGAUAGUGUCCAAGAUCACAUAGGAAAAUGUAAAAUGUUUCUUUGCCCUUUCAAGUUACAGUUUUUAAAAUGAGGUGAUCAUUGCAUCUAUAUAAUAAAGCAAAAAUGUCAAGAAUCCCUUUGUAUGACUCAGGGCUUUUAUGGGACCCAAUGCUAUUGCAUACAGAUUUUAAAGUUGUCUGCCUCAAGUUUACUAAUUAAUACUGAAAUAAAGCUGUUCCUGUGAAAACAAA